rnacentral:rRNA from 1 species
AAAGGAAUAGACGGGGACCCGCACAAGCGGUGGAGCAUGUGGUUUAAUUCGAAGCAACGCGAAGAACCUUACCAAGUCUUGACAUCGGAAUGACCGGUCCGUAACGGGGCCUUCCCUACGGGGCAUUCCAGACAGGUGGUGCAUGGUUGUCGUCAGCUCGUGUCGUGAGAUGUUGGGUUAAGUCCCGCAACGAGCGCAACCCUUAUCCUUAGUAGCCAGCAGUUCGGCUGGGCACUCUGGGGAGACUGCCAGGGAUAACCUGGAGGAAGGUGGGGAUGACGUCAAAUCAUCAUGCCCCUUAUGAUUUGGGCUACACACGUGCUACAAUGGCGUAAACAAAGGGAAGCGAAGGAGUGAUCCGGAGCAAAUCUCAAAAAUAACGUCUCAGUUCGGAUUGUAGUCUGCAACUCGACUACAUGAAGCUGGAAUCGCUAGUAAUCGCGGAUCAGAAUGCCGCGGUGAAUACGUUCCCGGGUCUUGUACACACCGCCCGU